AACCUCUGCAGUUUGUUUACAAUCAACAAUGAAGCUUUAUACUUCGAAAAAUUUAGAUAUGCCAGUGAUAUCGGAGUGAAAACUGUGAAAACAUGCGAAAAUCUACGUUGCACUCAGAAUUUAAGCUGUAUUCAUUUGAAAUGUGUAAAAAUACCAAGCAGGAAUCACUUUUCGACUAAGUUCGGGAUGUCAUAUUAUUUUUCCGCUUCAGUCCUUGGAAUAGAAUCUGUGUUCAUUUCAAAUGUGUGAUAAGGCGAAGCAUGUACCUGUAAGUAAAUAGGUAUGCAGCAGCAUUCCUUAUCUUCCUCUGACUUAGUUUAUCAGUGAUUAUUCGAUGAAAACCUGUGGAAAUCUACCUUGGAAUUAGAAUUUAAUCUGUGCCCUUUUGGAAUGUGUGAAGAGAUGGAGAAGGAAUCAUCUUUGGACCAACAACAAGCUUGCACUACUGCAGAAGUUGAAGGAUUUGUUAGGACCAUCCGAAGCUCUAGCGAUAAUCAGGCCAAAUAUGCGACCCCUUCCUGCUGUUCCCUGCCAAAGUUGCAUAAAAAAAAUAGGAGUCAACAUGAAAAGAAAGGAACAGAGCCAGUGACGAUGCAAUUUUUCUAAAAAUCACUACUUGAUCCUUGAAUUCUUGGAAUUUGUUUAUUCUUGCACGGAGCGAAGAAUGCCUCAUAGUCAUAGUGUGAAAUAUUUUGGAAGACCAUGUGCAAAGAAGGUACAGAUUAUACUUAUUUUUUGGCAUGCUGAAAUAGAUAAGAACAUUUGUGAGAGGCUUCACGGGAAAAAAAAGGUUAAAAAAGUUUUGAUUGGUACGUUUUUUUGUUUUUUUUUCUAAAAAAAAAAAAAAAAAAA
rnacentral:lncRNA from 1 species